rnacentral:misc_RNA from 1 species
AGUCGUAACAAGGUCUCCGUUGGUGAACCAGCGGAGGGAUCAUUACCGAGUUUACAACUCCCAAACCCAAUGUGAACCAUACCAAACUGUUGCCUCGGCGGGGUCACGCCCCGGGUGCGUCGCAGCCCCGGAACCAGGCGCCCGCCGGAGGGACCAACCAAACUCUUUCUGUAGUCCCCUCGCGGACGUUAUUUCUUACAGCUCUGAGCAAAAAUUCAAAAUGAAUCAAAACUUUCAACAACGGAUCUCUUGGUUCUGGCAUCGAUGAAGAACGCAGCGAAAUGCGAUAAGUAAUGUGAAUUGCAGAAUUCAGUGAAUCAUCGAAUCUUUGAACGCACAUUGCGCCCGCCAGUAUUCUGGCGGGCAUGCCUGUCCGAGCGUCAUUUCAACCCUCGAACCCCUCCGGGGGUCCGGCGUUGGGGAUCGGGAACCCCUAAGACGGGAUCCCGGCCCCGAAAUACAGUGGCGGUCUCGCCGCAGCCUCUCAUGCGCAGUAGUUUGCACAACUCGCACCGGGAGCGCGGCGCGUCCACGUCCGUAAAACACCCAACUUCUGAAAUGUUGACCUCGGAUCAGGUAGGAAUACCCGCUGAACUUAAGCAUAUCAAUAAGCGGAGGAA